GUAUGAUGCGUGCGUCUACCCCUCCCUCACUGCCGGCGUACUGUGGCUGAUGCACGACUCGACCACACCGACGUGCGAGCGCCGCGGCAUGGUCGCGCGCGAUAGGACCCCUGAGGAUGAGGCGUGCGCGUCCACGAUCCUGGUGACGGCUGGAGGGAAGCCCCGGGAGGUGCCGUUCGUGCUGCUGGCGGAGCGGCGGAUGGUGGUGGCCUUGGUGGGGGCCACUGCGGGAUAGGGAUGAACGCGGUGGGGGCGCCGUCGGGGGGCGGAUCGGGGCGGCGAGCGAGCGGGAGAACACACUGCUCUCCUUUGGCCGCGCCGCCAACCACGCGGCCGUCGUCAUGGUCGAGUUCGACGUCUAGGUAUAUAUAGACACAAAUGAAGCUAGCCUCUGCUUGAAUUUCCCAUCAUUAGUUCGCAAUUGAUAUGCUGCUAGCUUGUUUAAGCUUGGACUCCCGUCGGCUCGUCUCGCUUCCUUCGACUGUACUCUGCUGCGAUCUAUUGUGAUGACCCUUGUUUGCUCGAUGGGCGACGCUGGUUCUGUUUGUUUCGACUUGCCGUUGUCGCCUACGUCGAUGCGUGUGUCUUUCUGUCCUUCGCGUUCAGGUUGUACGAUCUCGCUCGUUGCUGCGUCCAUGUUUUGCUCGUUGCUUCAUCUCUGUUUUACUCAUCAAGGUUUGAUGAUCUCCCCUCUGUCUACCUUCCUAUUCUGCUUUCUUUAUGUACUAUCAUGUUGGCUAUUGUGACGCCCCGUUACGUCCAACAGAGUCAGGCGUAACGGAAGCCGUCACUUCAGAGUUGCGCCAGGAUCAGUUAAGGAGAACAGUGUCAUGUACAAGACGGAGCAGCUACCAUGAGUAGGCAAGCUUUUAUUACAUAGACACCUCAAGUGUCGACUAAGCCUAAGCGGCCAUGACGAUAGAUCGUCACCGCUUCUAGUACGAGCCUUUUCGACCAACCAUGGAGGGCAUCUACUCUUCAUAGCCUUGAUUGUCGACUUCCUCAUAAUCAUACUCCACUUCAGUAUAACCGAAGUCGUUAAAAUGACCAGACUCAUCAUAAGUACCAUUCUCUAUCGCCUCGGAGUUCUCAUAACUCUCUUGCUAUGAAAAACAACAUAAGUGCAGCUGAGUACGUAUAAAAUAUGUACUCCGCAAGUCGCCGGGAAAAGUGGAUGUAUGAGUUUUUAAAGAGGAAAAAC